rnacentral:rRNA from 1 species
GAUGAACGCUGGCGGCGUGCCUAAUACAUGCAAGUCGAGCGAACAGACGAGGAGCUUGCUCCUCUGACGUUAGCGGCGGACGGGUGAGUAACACGUGGAUAACCUACCUAUAAUACUGGGAUAACUUCGGGAAACCGGAGCUAAUACCGGAUAAUAUAUUGAACCGCAUGGUUCAAUAGUGAAUGACGGUGUUUCUGUCACUUAUAGAUGGAUCUGCGCUGCAUUAGCUAGUUGUUAAGGUAACGGCUUACCAAGGCAACGAUGCGUAGCCGACCUGAGAGGGUGAUCGGCCACACUGGAACUGAGACGCGGUCCAGACUACUACGGGAGGCAGCAGUAGGGAAUCUUCGGCAAUGGGCGAAAGCUUGGCGGAGCAGCGGCGCGUGAGUGGUGAAGGUCUUCGGAUCGUAAAACUCUGUUAUUAGGGAAGAACAAAUGUGUAAGUAACUAUGGACGUAUUGACGGUACCUAGUCAGAAAGCCACGGCUAACUACGUG